rnacentral:rRNA from 1 species
GUGCUCCUACGGGACGCAGCAGUGGGGAAUAUUGCGCAAUGGGCGAAAGCCUGACGCAGCGACGCCGCGUGAGGGAUGAAGGGCUUCGGAUCGUAAACCUCUGUCAGCAGGGAAGAACGGUCACUAUGCUAAUCAGCAGUGAAUUGACGGUACCUGCAAAGGAAGCACCGGCUAACUCCGUGCCAGCAGCCGCGGUAAUACGGAGGGGGCGAGCGUUAAUCGGAAUUACUGGGCGUAAAGCGCUCGUAGGCGGUAUGUCAAGUCAAGGGUGAAAUCCCCGCGCUCAACGUGGGAAUUGCCUUUGA